rnacentral:rRNA from 1 species
UGGGGAAUAUUGGACAAUGGGCGCAAGCCUGAUCCAGCCAUGCCGCGUGAGUGAUGAAGGCCCUAGGGUUGUAAAGCUCUUUCACCGGUGAAGAUAAUGACGGUAACCGGAGAAGAAGCCCCGGCUAACUUCGUGCCAGCAGCCGCGGUAAUACGAAGGGGGCUAGCGUUGUUCGGAAUUACUGGGCGUAAAGCGCACGUAGGCGGACAUUUAAGUCAGGGGUGAAAUCCCGGGGCUCAACCCCGGAACUGCCUUUGAUACUGGGUGUCUAGAGUUCGAGAGAGGUGAGUGGAAUUCCGAGUGUAGAGGUGAAAUUCGUAGAUAUUCGGAGGAACACCAGUGGCGAAGGCGGCUCACUGGCUCGAUACUGACGCUGAGGUGCGAAAGCGUGGGGAGCAAAACAGGAUUAGAUACCCUGGUAGUCCACGCCGUAAACGAUGGAAGCCAGCUGUCGGCAAGUUUACUUGUCGGUGGCGCAGCUAACGCAUUAAGCUUCCCGCCUGGGGAGUACGGUCGCAAGAUUAAAA